rnacentral:sRNA from 1 species
UUCCACAUACCUCUUCU